GUGCUAGCUUCAGCAGCACAUAUACUAAAAUUGGAAGGAUACAGAGAAGAUUAGCAUGGCCCCUGCACAAGGAUGACACGCAAAUUCAUGAAACGUUCCAUAUUUUU
rnacentral:snRNA from 1 species